rnacentral:rRNA from 2 species
GAGUUUGACCGUGGCUCAGGAUGAACGCUAGCGGCAGGCUUAAUACAUGCAAGUCGUGGGGCAGCAUGAGUGUAGCAAUACAUUUGAUGGCGACCGGCAAACGGGUGCGGAACACGUACACAACCUUCCUUUAAGUGGGGGAUAGCCCAGGGAAACUUGGAUUAAUACCCCGUAAUAUAUAGAGACGGCAUCGCCUUUAUAUUAUAGCAGCAAUGCGCUUGAAGAUGGGUGUGCGGCUGAUUAGAUAGUUGGCGGGGUAACGGCCCACCAAGUCGACGAUCAGUAACUGGUGUGAGAGCACGACCAGUCACACGGGCACUGAGACACGGGCCCGACUCCUACGGGAGGCAGCAGUAAGGAAUAUUGGUCAAUGGACGCAAGUCUGACGCAGCGACGCCGCGUGUGGGAUGAAGCUCUUCGGGGUGUAAACCACUGUUGCCCGGGACGAAAUGCCCCUUUCGAGGGAAUUGACGGUACCGGGUGAGGAAGCACCGGCUAACUCUGUGCCAGCCGCCGCC